rnacentral:sRNA from 1 species
GACUUUGCAAAAAAAAUUCUUUUAGGAAAGAGGUUGAAGGGUAUGGGUACAAUCAUUUGUCAAACUUGUAACAGCGCAGUAGAUCACUUUGAGGAUGAAAAAGUUACAACUUAUUAUGCAAAAUGUGCAGAUUGUCAGUGCUCUGAAAAAAGCGAAGAUCUAGCCUAGAAUCAUAUAGUAAUAGAAAGAGCAGGUCCCCGGUAAGUGAGGGGACCUGCUCUUUG